GAACCCCUUGACAUAAACUUCCAUUUUUUCUGUAAAAAGUAUUGAACUUUACCAUGACAGCACUCGCUCAAAUUCUCAUUAAUUUAUCACCCUUAAAAACACCACAUGAUGCUUUGUAUAGAAAACCGAACUUUCUUGGGCUGAAAUUACAGCGACCCAGUUGUUGUUUCACUAAUUUAAGGGCAAGAAAAGUGUCAAUUUGUAGUAGUUGGUAUAAAUUAGGUGCUUUUAAGGAGAAAAACUCAAUCUUGACAGAUAAAAAUGGGAUUUUUAUGAAGGAGGAGAGAUGGGGUUGUGAGAAAAGAAUGGUUUUUGUGAAAUUUAAACAAGGUUUUGGAUUGGAU
rnacentral:misc_RNA from 1 species